rnacentral:rRNA from 1 species
CUACGUGCCAGCAGCCGCGGUAAUACGGAGGGUGCGAGCGUUAAUCGGAAUAACUGGGCGUAAAGGGCACGCAGGCGGUGACUUAAGUGAGGUGUGAAAGCCCCGGGCUUAACCUGGGAAUUGCAUUUCAUACUGGGUCGCUAGAGUACUUUAGGGAGGGGUAGAAUUCCACGUGUAGCGGUGAAAUGCGUAGAGAUGUGGAGGAAUACCGAAGGCGAAGGCAGCCCCUUGGGAAUGUACUGACGCUCAUGUGCGAAAGCGUGGGGAGCAAACAGGAUUAGAUACCCUGGUAGUCCACGCUGUAAACGAUGUCGAUUUGGGGGUUGAGCUUUGAGCUUGGCGCCCGUAGCUAACGUGAUAAAUCGACCGCCUGGGGAGUACGGCCGCAAGGUUAAAACUCAAAUGAAUUGACGGGGGCCCGCACAAGCGGUGGAGCAUGUGGUUUAAUUCGAUGCAACGCGAAGAACCUUACCUACUCUUGACAUCCAGAGAACAUUC